rnacentral:rRNA from 1 species
UAGUGGCGAACGGGUGAGUAACACGUGGGCAAUCUGCCCUUCACUCUGGGACAAGCCCUGGAAACGGGGUCUAAUACCGGAUAACACUCCUGCCUGCAUGGGUGGGGGUUAAAAGCUCCGGCGGUGAAGGAUGAGCCCGCGGCCUAUCAGCUUGUUGGUGAGGUAGUGGCUCACCAAGGCGACGACGGGUAGCCGGCCUGAGAGGGCGACCGGCCACACUGGGACUGAGACACGGCCCAGACUCCUACGGGAGGCAGCAGUGGGGAAUAUUGCACAAUGGGCGAAAGCCUGAUGCAGCGACGCCGCGUGAGGGAUGACGGCCUUCGGGUUGUAAACCUCUUUCAGCAGGGAAGAAGCGAAAGUGACGGUACCUGCAGAAGAAGCGCCGGCUAACUACGUGCCAGCAGCCGCGGUAAUACGUAGGGCGCAAGCGUUGUCCGGAAUUAUUGGGCGUAAAGAG